rnacentral:rRNA from 1 species
AUGGGAUGGAGAGGCAAGACCCUUCCGCCACCACCACCGGCGCUUCACUGCGAAAACAACCCCAGCGCCGCCGCCCGCACCAAAAAAGAGGUUGGGCACCAAAACCUCCUCAGGGUCACCUUACCGGCAACCACCGCUGGUAGCAAGGUCGAUGGCAAGGUUGUUGCAUCUUCGACGACGGUUGACCGCCCUCAUACUGCUCCAGCCAUCGGCAAGCGGGCAAGGAAGCAGACAACGGCUACAUCUCCGGUGACGGCAGGCCGCCCUCCCGCUGCUCCAGCUACGGCAAGAGGGCAAAGAAGUAGACAACAACUGUGUUGGCGCUCGUUGAUGACGUGGCGAAGAAGAACAACAAGAAGGUAUCUUCGAUAUGCCUCGUCCUCGUCUGGUGCCAUGGACCCCGUCUCUGGCCACCGCUACAGCUACUCCUCCUAUGCGUCCGGCCUCCGCCGCCGGCAACAAGGAUUGUGGCUGCCAAGUGGUCAAUGA